rnacentral:rRNA from 1 species
AGGCGAACCGGGGGAACUGAAACAUCUAAGUACCCCGAGGAAAAGAAAUCAACCGAGAUUCCCCCAGUAGCGGCGAGCGAACGGGGAGGAGCCCAGAGCCUGAAUCAGUGUGUGUGUUAGUGGAAGCGUCUGGAAAGGCGUGCGAUACAGGGUGACAGCCCCGUACACAAAAAUGCACAUAUUGUGAGCUCGAUGAGUAGGGCGGGACACGUGGUAUCCUGUCUGAAUAUGGGGGGACCAUCCUCCAAGGCUAAAUACUCCUGACUGACCGAUAGUGAACCAGUACCGUGAGGGAAAGGCGAAAAGAACCCCGGCGAGGGGAGUGAAAAAGAACCUGAAACCGUGUACGUACAAGCAGUGGGAGCCUCUUAAUGGGGUGACUGCGUACCUUUUGUAUAAUGGGUCAGCGACUUAUAUUCUGUAGCAAGGUUAACCGAAUAGGGGAGCCGAAGGGAAACCGAGUCUUAACUGGGCGUUAAGUUGCAGGGUAUAGACCCGAAACCCGGUGAUCUAGCCAUGGGCAGGUUGAAGGUUGGGUAACACUAACUGGAGGACCGAACCGACUAAUGUUGAAAAAUUAGCGGAUGACUUGUGGCUGGGGGUGAAAGGCCAAUCAAACCGGGAGAUAGCUGGUUCUCCCCGAAAGCUAUUUAGGUAGCGCCUCGUGAAUUCAUCUCCGGGGGUAGAGCACUGUUUCGGCAAGGGGGUCAUCCCGACUUACCAACCCGAUGCAAACUGCGAAUACCGGAGAAUGUUAUCACGGGAGACACACGGCGGGUGCUAACGUCCGUCGUGAAGAGGGAAACAACCCAGACCGCCAGCUAAGGUCCCAAAGUCAUGGUUAAGUGGGAAACGAUGUGGGAAGGCCCAGACAGCCAGGAUGUUGGCUUAGAAGCAGCCAUCAUUUAAAGAAAGCGUAAUAGCUCACUGGUCGAGUCGGCCUGCGCGGAAGAUGUAACGGGGCUAAACCAUGCACCGAAGCUGCGGCAGCGACACUAUGUGUUGUUGGGUAGGGGAGCGUUCUGUAAGCCUGUGAAGGUGGCCUGUGAGGGUUGCUGGAGGUAUCAGAAGUGCGAAUGCUGACAUAAGUAACGAUAAAGCGGGUGAAAAGCCCGCUCGCCGGAAGACCAAGGGUUCCUGUCCAACGUUAAUCGGGGCAGGGUGAGUCGACCCCUAAGGCGAGGCCGAAAGGCGUAGUCGAUGGGAAACAGGUUAAUAUUCCUGUACUUGGUGUUACUGCGAAGGGGGGACGGAGAAGGCUAUGUUAGCCGGGCGACGGUUGUCCCGGUUUAAGCAUGUAGGCUGGUUGUCCAGGCAAAUCCGGAUAAUCAAGGCUGAGGUGUGAUGACGAGGCACUACGGUGCUGAAGUAACAAAUGCCCUGCUUCCAGGAAAAGCCUCUAAGCAUCAGGUAACAUCAAAUCGUACCCCAAACCGACACAGGUGGUCAGGUAGAGAAUACCAAGGCGCUUGAGAGAACUCGGGUGAAGGAACUAGGCAAAAUGGUGCCGUAACUUCGGGAGAAGGCACGCUGAUAUGUAGGUGAAGCGACUUGCUCGUGGAGCUGAAAUCAGUCGAAGAUACCAGCUGGCUGCAACUGUUUAUUAAAAACACAGCACUGUGCAAACACGAAAGUGGACGUAUACGGUGUGACGCCUGCCCGGUGCCGGAAGGUUAAUUGAUGGGGUUAGCGGUAACGCGAAGCUCUUGAUCGAAGCCCCAGUAAACGGCGGCCGUAACUAUAACGGUCCUAAGGUAGCGAAAUUCCUUGUCGGGUAAGUUCCGACCUGCACGAAUGGCGUAAUGAUGGCCAGGCUGUCUCCACCCGAGACUCAGUGAAAUUGAACUCGCUGUGAAGAUGCAGUGUACCCGCGGCAAGACGGAAAGACCCCGUGAACCUUUACUAUAGCUUGACACUGAACAUUGAGCCUUGAUGUGUAGGAUAGGUGGGAGGCUUUGAAGUGUGGACGCCAGUCUGCAUGGAGCCGACCUUGAAAUACCACCCUUUAAUGUUUGAUGUUCUAACGUUGGCCCGUAAUCCGGGUUGCGGACAGUGUCUGGUGGGUAGUUUGACUGGGGCGGUCUCCUCCUAAAGAGUAACGGAGGAGCACGAAGGUUGGCUAAUCCUGGUCGGACAUCAGGAGGUUAGUGCAAUGGCAUAAGCCAGCUUGACUGCGAGCGUGACGGCGCGAGCAGGUGCGAAAGCAGGUCAUAGUGAUCCGGUGGUUCUGAAUGGAAGGGCCAUCGCUCAACGGAUAAAAGGUACUCCGGGGAUAACAGGCUGAUACCGCCCAAGAGUUCAUAUCGACGGCGGUGUUUGGCACCUCGAUGUCGGCUCAUCACAUCCUGGGGCUGAAGUAGGUCCCAAGGGUAUGGCUGUUCGCCAUUUAAAGUGGUACGCGAGCUGGGUUUAGAACGUCGUGAGACAGUUCGGUCCCUAUCUGCCGUGGGCGCUGGAGAACUGAGGGGGGCUGCUCCUAGUACGAGAGGACCGGAGUGGACGCAUCACUGGUGUUCGGGUUGUCAUGCCAAUGGCACUGCCCGGUAGCUAAAUGCGGAAGAGAUAAGUGCUGAAAGCAUCUAAGCACGAAACUUGCCCCGAGAUGAGUUCUCCCUGACUCCUUGA